GUCAUCCACACCCAUGCCGCGU
rnacentral:siRNA from 1 species